rnacentral:rRNA from 1 species
GAUGAACGCUGGCGGCGUGCUUAACACAUGCAAGUCGAACGGAAAGGCCCAAGCUUGUUUGGCUACUCGAGUGGCGAACGGGUGAGUAACACGUGGGUGUUCUGCCCUGCACUUCCGUAUAAGCUUGGGUAACUGGGUCUACUCCCGGAUCGGAUCCCUCCUUGGAUGUUGUGCAGGAAAGCUUUUUCGGUGUGGGAUUAGCUCGCGGCCUAUCAGCUUGUUGGUGGGGUAGUGGCCUACCAAGGCGUCGACGGCGAGCCGGCCUGAGGGGGUGUAGAGACGGAUUAGGAUGGUGAGGCAGGCCAGAGUGCGGAGGGAGGCAGCAGUGGGGAAAAUUGGACAAAGGGAGAAAGCCUGAGGGAAGGAGGCCGCGUGGGGGAUGAGGGCCUUCGGGGUGUAAGCUAAUUUGGAGGGGGACGAAGCGUUGUUGUGACGGUACCUGGAGAAGAAGCACCGGCUAACUACGUG